rnacentral:rRNA from 1 species
GAUGAACGCUGGCGGCGUGCUUAACACAUGCAAGUCGAACGAAGCACUUUAUUAUGAUUUCUUCGGAAUGACGAUUUAGUGACUGAGUGGCGGACGGGUGAGUAACGCGUGGGUAACCUGCCUUAUACAGGGGGAUAACAGUUGGAAACGGCUGCUAAUACCGCAUAAGCGCACGGCAUCGCAUGAUGCAGUGUGAAAAACUCCGGUGGUAUAAGAUGGACCCGCGUCUGAUUAGCUUGUUGGUGAGGUAACGGCCCACCAAGGCGACGAUCAGUAGCCGGCCUGAGAGGGUGAACGGCCACAUUGGGACUGAGACACGGCCCAAACUCCUACGGGAGGCAGCAGUGGGGAAUAUUGCACAAUGGGGGAAACCCUGAUGCAGCGACGCCGCGUGAGUGAUGAAGUAUUUCGGUAUGUAAAACUCUAUCAGCAGGGAAGAUAAUGACGGUACCUGACUAAGAAGCACCGGCUAAAUACGUGCCAGCAG